UAAAGGGCUGCAGUAUAUUGACUGUACAAAGGUAGCAUAAUCAUUAGUCUUUUAAUUGAAGACUUGUAUGAAAGAUUUGAUGAAAUAUAAACUGUCUCUAAUUUAUUAAUAAAAAUUAAUUUUUUAGUUAAAAAGCUAAAAUAAUAUUAAAAGACGAGAAGACCCUAUAAAGUUUAAUAAUUUAUUUAUUUAAUAUUAAAUAUAUAAUUAAAUAUAUAAUAAUUAAUAUAAAUUAUUUUAUUGGGGUGAUAGAAAAAUUUAAUUAACUUUUUUUAAUAAAUAAACAUAAAUAAAUGAUUUAUUGAUCCAUUAUUAAUGAUUAAAAGAAAAAAUUACUUUAGGGAUAACAGCGUAAUAUUUUUUUUUAGUACAAAUAAAAAAAAAAGUUUGCGACCUCGAUGUUGGAUUAAGAUAAAAUUUAAAUGCAAAAGUUUAAAAUUUUGAUCUGUUCGAUCAUUAAAAUCUUACAUGAUCUGAGCUC
rnacentral:rRNA from 1 species